UUUGAUGUGAAAUUUUAAUUGUUCUAAGCUAGUCAUGUAGUGUAAAUUAAUUAAGAUUGAACACCUAAAUAUAAUUAAGGCAAUAUUACAUUAUGAGUCCUUUAUCUUAUUUAUUUGUAACAUUUUGGUCCUUUGUCUUUAUUUUUUCCCGUUUAGGUCCUUUAUCUCUCUUAAAAGCACAUAUACAUCUUUUUUCGCAUUUUUUUUAUUAAAAAAUACAUAAUUAUAUUUUUAAAAAUAUAUUUUUAUUAAAAC
rnacentral:lncRNA from 1 species